rnacentral:rRNA from 1 species
UACGUAGGGGGCAAGCGUUGUCCGGAUUUAUUGGGCGUAAAGAGCGUGUAGGCGGCUAGGUAGGUCCGUUGUGAAAACUCGAGGCUCAACCUCGAGCUGUCGAUGGAAACCAUCUGGCUAGAGUCCGGAAGAGGAGAGUGGAAUUCCCAGUGUAGCGGUGAAAUGCGCAGAUAUCAGGAAGAACACCAAUGGCGAAAGCAGCUCUCUGGGACGGUACUGACGCUGAGACGCGAAAGCGUGGGGAGCGAACAGG